GCCGAGAUAGCUCAGCGGUAGAGCAGGGCUUUCGUAAAGCCAAGGUCGAGAGUUCAAAUCUCUCUCUCGGCUCAA
rnacentral:tRNA from 1 species